GAUGAACGUUAGCGGGAGGCUUAAUACAUGCAAGUCGAGCGGUAAGUUUUUAUAGCAAUAUGAAGACCUAGAGCGGCGCACGGGUGAGUAACGCGUACACGACCUGGCCUAAACUGGGGGAUAGCCUUGGGAAACUGAAAGUAAUCCCGCAUGUGAUUAUGUUACUGAUGGUGAUAUAAUUAAAGCUUCGGCGGUUUAGGAUGGGUGUGCGUCUGAUUAGCUAGUUGGUAGUGUAACGGACUACCAAGGCGAUGAUCAGUAGGGGGCGUGAGAGCGUGACCCCCCACACGGGUACUGAGACACGGACCCGACUCCUACGGGAGGCAGCAGUAAGGAAUAUUGGUCAAUGCCCGGAAGGGUGAACCAGCCAUCCCGCGUGAAGGAUGAAGGGGCUCUGCCUUGUAAACUUCUUUUGUAUGGGGCGAAAAAAGGGGAUUUAUCCUCGACUGACGGUACCAUAAGAAUAAGCACCGGCUAACUCCGUGCCAGCAGCCGCGGUAAU
rnacentral:rRNA from 1 species